UACAUGUGGGGCAAGCGUUGUUCGGAAUCACUGGGCUUAAAGGGCGCGUAGGCGGUCCGACAAGUCAGGGGUGAAAUCCUGCAGCUUAACUGCAGAAGUGCCUUUGAUACUGUCGGUCUUGAGGGAGAUAGGGGUGUGCGGAACUCACAGUGGAGCGGUGAAAUGCGUUGAUAUUGUGAGGAACGCCGGAGGCGAAAGCGGCGCACUGGAUCUCUUCUGACGCUGAGGCGCGAAAGCUAGGGGAGCAAACGGG
rnacentral:rRNA from 1 species